AUCGCUUCUCGGCCUUUUGGCUAAGAUCAAGUGUAGAAUCUGUUCUUAUCAGUUUAAUAUCUGAUAUGUCCUCUAUUUGAGGACUACAUAUUAGGAAAGGGGGGGUCUUAAAAUGCCUAAUUUAAAAUUGUAUUAUGAAGCAGUUGUCUUAUCAUUAAUUACUGAUUGGAUUAAUUUAACUGAG